AGCGAACGCUGGCGGCGUGCUUAACACAUGCAAGUCGAGUGCGCGGCUCGUAGCAAUACGAGCUGGCGCACGGCGCACGGGUGCGUAACACGUGGGCAACAUGCCCUCCGAUGGGGAAUAACCCGCCGAAAGGCGGGCUAAUACCGCAUACCAUUCCGGGAACCUCGGUUCCUGGCCUGAAAGCCCGCAAGGGCGUCGGUGGAGUGGCCCGCGGCCGAUUAGCUUGUUGGGAGGUAACGGCUCACCAAGGCAAUGAUCGGUAGCCGGUCUGAGAGGAUGAUCGGCCACACUGGAACUGAGACACGGUCCAGACUCCUACGGGAGGCAGCAGUGGGAAUCUUGCGCAAUGGGCGAAAGCCUGA
rnacentral:rRNA from 1 species